CGGCAGCUCCUUCCUUUGCAAAUUGAAGCCCACGUUCCUCUUCUUCACCGAUUCUGCCAGCCACACGCCAGCCCCACUACCGUUGGUCUCCUUCGAUCAAAACUCCUCUCGCUGGCCUUGGUGGUUGAUUGGCAGCAUUCACGAAGCCUUGAAGACCGAAACUCCACCGAGCGAAGCCUCCACCGAAGCAGUUUCUUCUUUGUCGCUGCCAUUUGGCCGUAAGCCAACAAACGGUGUCCUCCUCUCUACGCGGCCAGAAGUUCAAGCGGACAUCUCCACUAUAAAUUGUCCCUUUGGUCAACAACAAGCCAUAGAAGCUCCUUGAUUGACCGAAUCAGCGACCUCACGUCCCAGCUGCAGCUCCUUCAUGCGUC
rnacentral:lncRNA from 1 species